GACGAACGCUGGCGGCGUGCCUAAUACAUGCAAGUCGAACGCUUUUUCUUUCACCGGAGCUUGCUCCACCGAAAGAAAAAGAGUGGCGAACGGGUGAGUAACACGUGGGUAACCUGCCCAUCAGAAGGGGAUAACACUUGGAAACAGGUGCUAAUACCGUAUAACAAGUAAAACCGCAUGGUUUUACUUUGAAAGGCGCUUUUGCGUCACUGAUGGAUGGACCCGCGGUGCAUUAGCUAGUUGGUGAGGUAACGGCUCACCAAGGCAACGAUGCAUAGCCGACCUGAGAGGGUGAUCGGCCACAUUGGGACUGAGACACGGCCCAAACUCCUACGGGAGGCAGCAGUAGGGAAUCUUCGGCAAUGGACGAAAGUCUGACCGAGCAACGCCGCGUGAGUGAAGAAGGUUUUAGGAUCGUAAAACUCUGUUGUUAGAGAAGAACAAGGAUGAGAGUAAAAUGUUCAUCCCUUGACGGUAUCUAACCAGAAAGCCACGGCUAACUACGUGCCAGCAGCCGCGGUAAUACGUAGGUGGCAAGCGUUGUCCGGAUUUAUUGGGCGUAAAGCGAGCGCAGGCGGUUUCUUAAGUCUGAUGUGAAAGCCCCCGGCUCAACCGGGGAGGGUCAUUGGAAACUGGGAAACUUGAGUGCAGAAGAGGAGAGUGGAAUUCCAUGUGUAGCGGUGAAAUGCGUAGAUAUAUGGAGGAACACCAGUGGCGAAGGCGGCUCUCUGGUCUGUAACUGACGCUGAGGCUCGAAAGCGUGGGGAGCAAACAGG
rnacentral:rRNA from 1 species